UCUUAAUGACCAUUCUCCCUUCCCCCUGUCGGGAGAACAUGUACUUAUAAAUGAGCGAAUGGGAACUGUGAUGCUGAGUCAGGAGGCAUGCUCAGCUGGAGAGUGGACAGUAUGACCCCGGAUAACAUAACAGAGGGACUUUUUGGAGGAAGAGAUUAUGUAAACACAAGAGUUUCAAAGCCUAGAGAGAGAGAAAGGCUGGAUUGAGCAGGCAGGAAACAGCAGCUCGCUCUGGAGGUGGUCAUUGUAUCACUGUGGCUUCUACUCAAGUCAGCUCUUCCUGAUUUUAGAGAGAAAAAUGAAAGGAUCUUGAUCCCUCAAGGACCCAGAGGACCAGAGGCCAGAGGCAAUCUCUAUUGUACAAGAUGGGUUGGAGCAGAGUAUGAGUUCAAACUGCAUGGUUCAGUCUAAGGCCACUUUGUUGAAAAAAGCGAUACCCUCUGGUAGGGAUUGCAGAAUUCUCUUGAGUCCUUGAAGAAACUUGAGUCCUGUGGAGUGGUUUGCUUGUGGAGUGGUUGACUACUCAGGAUCCCAAUUAGGAAUACCCUCAGGGGACUUCUCCAAAGCUAUGGGAAGAGCCUACUAUGCUCCUUGGAAGUGUGGGCAUAUAAACACUCUCAGGGUGGCUGUCUAUCAGAAGAGUCCACAGAUAAAUGCUCCAGACCCGUUUCUUGAGUGGACAGUUCUAUAUUUACUGAGGCCUACAGUGUUCCAGGCACCACUCAAGGUUCUGCUGGAGACGAAGACUGAAGAAAACAAAGGGUCUCCCUUCAUCAAGCUUACAUUGUAGUGCAAAUCACAAUCAAGUCCUCAAGUUUUUCCAUAUCUCUUUACCUGGUCCUGAGACUCCUUGAAUGCCGUAACUUCAAGCUGACAGAUGAUCCUUUCAACUCAAGAAGAGUCAUAUAUGAUGUCUACCUUGGAUUUAGCUGCCUUUGCCUUUCAUAACUCCUACAUCCCCAACUGACCAAUGUUGAUCCAUAGGAAUGUCCUCUCACCACGUGGGAUGGCGCCCUGGCGGCCACGUUACAUGUUCAUGCCUCCGAACUUGAGUUGCAAUCUGGCGUGGACACCUGAUCCAGACUAAAUCAAUACAGCAAAAUCUUCUUGCCAGAGAAUUUGAAAUUGGGACCCGGACCUUCCAGGUUAGACUGUAGUCUAAAUGUAGCCACAUUUUAUAGCUUAAUAGUGUUUCCUUUUGUCUUUAUCUGGUUCACAUUGGUAUCUGUUACUAUAACCAAAUUUACUUCUUUUUUGGGAUGACCUUCAUGGACUGAAUUCAAGACUGGUUUAGAAAUGGCAGGCUUGGGCGCCUGGGUGGCUCAGUUGGUUAAGCGACUGCCUUCGGCUCAGGUCAUGAUCCUGGAGUCCCUGGAUCGAGUCCCACAUCGGGCUCCCUGCUCGGCAGGGAGCCUGCUUCUGCCUCUGACACCCCCCCCCCAUGUGCUCUCUCUCAUUCUCUCUGUCUCAAAUAAAUAAAUAAAAU